AACGAACGCUGGCGGCAGGCUUAACACAUGCAAGUCGAGCGCCCCGCAAGGGGAGCGGCAGACGGGUGAGUAACGCGUGGGAAUCUACCCAUCUCUACGGAAUAACGCAUGGAAACGUGUGCUAAUACCGUAUACGUCCUUCGGGAGAAAGAUUUAUCGGAGAUGGAUGAGCCCGGGUUGGAUUAGCUAGUUGGUGGGGUAAAGGCCUACCAAGGCGACGAUCCAUAGCUGGUCUGAGAGGAUGAUCAGCCACACUGGGACGGAGACACGGCCCAGACUCCUACGGGAGGCAGCAGUGGGGAAUAUUGGACAAUGGGCGCAAGCCUGAUCCAGCCAUGCCGCGUGAGUGAUGAAGGCCCUAGGGUUGUAAAGCUCUUUCACCGGGGAAGAUAAUGACGGUAACCGGAGAAGAAGCCCCGGCUAACUUCGUGCCAGCAGCCGCCGUAACAC
rnacentral:rRNA from 1 species